CCGGCCCAGCCCGGGCGAGCCGAACUGAACAGGGCCGAACGGAGCCCAACCCGGGCCGGCCGAGCCCAACCCGGCCGAAUGGGAACGAACCCAGCCGAGUCCAGCCGGGUCGAACCGAGCCCGCCCCAAAUGGCGGCGGCGGGGGGACUCUCGUGAGCCCGCGAGGGAACCGUGAGGGGAGAUGGCGGUGGAUCCCUCAUGAGCCCCUGAGGGGUGAUGGCGUUGGAGACAGCUGAAGGGAUGUGAGAGGAUAGUGAGGGGACGCGAGCGGUGUGCCACUGCGGACAGUGAGGGAAGCUCCCCACCAGCCUGUGGAGAUGCAGAAACAUUGCAUUAAAGGGGAUCACAAGGAUCAGAGCUUGUCUUGGCAUGUGGGAAGGAAGUAUUUGCAGCCUGAAGUUGGCAUGGAGAACAUGAUGCCCAAGGAGAAGAGCCAUCAGGUGCUUGUCAUGGAUGGAGAGAGAGGAAGCAGAGAGCGAGUCACUGAGGGGAAUCACCCCCUGCAGCAAGGUGUGUUAUGUGCAAGAUACUCUCAAGAUACCACCCCAUGCAGCGUAGGCAUAGGGCACCUCAGUAAUGCUGCCAGUGAUCUGGGGGAAAUUAAAGAGGCACAAGAAACACUUCAGGAACUGCAGUAUGGAUUCCAGGAGGGAAAAAAAAUAGUAUUAGGAAAACCACGGAAGAAAGUGCUGGGUUAUAAGGCUAAGCCCUGUGAGUACACCUCCAUUUCCACAGGCACAAGUGGUUUGGUUUUAAACUCCUUCCCAUUUCCAUUUGUUAACAAAGAGACUGGGAACCAGACAUUCCUUUGGCAGUGGCUAUUGGGAGGGAUUUCAGUCACCAACCACUCACAUCCUUGUGUUUGACUCAGUGCUUUAUUGGCAAGCACACAGCACCUUGUAAUUAGCACAUGUGGUUGCUGGAGGUAAUUAUGUCAGUCUAGUGGUUACACUUCUGGGGGUCCCGGCACCCCAGCGUAUCCCCAGGGAAUGAGGCACAGCAGAUAAUCAAUGUAAGGUCACAGGGAAUCAAAAGCCAGGUGGGCCAGCAGUAUUUCCCAAAUCCCAUUCUGGUGACAAACUGGCCCAAAAAGUGCUUACCUUGGCAAAGCCACACCAGGCAUGUGCUCAGACAUGGGCCGGGCAGGGGCUGAUGGAGGCACUGCAGAAUUCCUGAGCAAUGGCUCAGUCAUGUUCCUUCUGCUGACCAUUCCUUGAACUAU